UUGCGUAAAUUAGAGCUUUAUAGUCUUGAAAAACUAAAUUGCGUGGCGGCUUAGCAACUAUAUAGAGAGGCAUGCUUUUUAAUCGAUACUACACGAAUAUCUUACUAAUUUCGCAAUUAACCAUUUUACACACCGCCGUCGGAAGAAUAGUUUUAGAGAACUGUUCUCUAUUUUAUCUUUGCAUGAACUUAAGAUUGUAAAAAUAAAAUAUAAGUCAGGUCAAGGCGUAGACCAUAAUUAGGUUAAAGUGUGACUCAUUAAUACCAUUAUGUCUUCAGUGUAUAUUUACAAUAGUUUUUACUAUUAAUGAAUAUCUUACUAGAGUAAAUGAAUUUAUAAGU
rnacentral:rRNA from 1 species